rnacentral:rRNA from 1 species
GACAGAGGGUGCAAACGUUGUUCGGAAUUACUGGGCGUAAAGCGCGUGUAGGCGGCUCUGCAAGUCGGGUGUGAAACCUCCAGGCUCAACCUGGAGACGCCACCCGAUACUGCUAUAGCUUGAGUCCGGUAGGGGAGCGUGGAAUUCCUGGUGUAGCGGUGAAAUGCGUAGAUAUCGAGAGGAACACCAGUGGCGAAGGCGAGUCCCUGGACAGGUCCUGACGCUGAGGCACGAAAGCUAGGGGAGCAAACAGG